rnacentral:rRNA from 1 species
UACGAGGGGGGCGAGCGUUGUUCGGAAUUAUUGGGCGUAAAGGGUGCGUAGGCGGUUCGGUAAGUUUUGUGUGAAAUCUUCGGGCUUAACUCGAAGCCUGCACAAGAUACUGCCGGGCUUGAAUAUGGAAGAGGGUCGCGGAAUUCCCGGUGUAGAGGUGAAAUUCGUAGAUAUCGGGAGGAACACCAGUGGCGAAGGCGGCGACCUGGGCCAAUAUUGACGCUGAGGUGCGAAAGCGUGGGGAGCAAACAGG